AAAUCAUAGCCAAGCAGAAUAUGUGACAGGUUCAUCCGCCUCCUCCACAUCUACUCCAAAGCGCCUGUUACGAAACGCUCUACGCCAGGAUUUGCUGACCAGAGUUUGCUCCGAAACAUUGCCACGUCUCGAAUCGUUAGCCAGAGUUUGUUGCGAAACUUUCUCACCUAGGCAUCGCACCUGAGCAUCGUAACUGGGCACCGU
rnacentral:misc_RNA from 1 species